UUUUAAAUCUGACUGUUAGCGUGCUCUAACAAACACACUGUGUGGAUUUAUCUCCACAGCGGGACGAAGUACCAGUCUGAGCUUCGAUGUGUCACUGUGAGCGUCGGAAUCAGUGAGUGAAGUUUGAUCCUUGUUAGUUUUGUUUGUUUCGCUAAGAUUGACAAAUGUAACCUGUUUUUACAGCAAAUACAACUACAACAACAACGCUGCCACCACCCACAACAACCACACCAGCACCAACAACUACAACCACACCAGCACCAACUACAACACCAUCUGUCUCAAGUGAGUGAUGUCAUGUUUAUUAACUGGUCUCCUGUCUUCCUGCAUUAAGACCUUGAUGAAUGACAUGAAUGAAUUUUAAAAAGUUUCAGCAGCUGCGUCGUAACACCGACUCAUUCUGCUUCUAGGUGUUGUAUUUCUGGCGAUGAGGAUCUCCACUUCAACACCGUUGUCAGCAGCUGAUAUGGACGUGAUCAUACAACAGCUCAAAGAUAAACUGGUGCAACAAGGGCUGCCCCCAGACAUUGCUCUGAGAAUCCUGAACAUUGACGCUCUGCCAUAAGUUACAACAACAGCGCCCUCUGGUGGCUGAUCAUGUAAAGGGAAAGGUGUGCUUUCUGCCUGUUUUGUUUGUGGAGAUAAUGGGAUAAUAAUCUUCCUCCUUUCUGUGGAAUGAGCUUGAUGAUCAUGUUAAAACAAGCACUUCUUUUCAAAGUUUAAAAAAAUCUCUAAAAUAUAUGUUAAUUAACGACUACAAUGAAAUGUAAAAGGGAAAUUUAAAGCUAAACUAUGUUAAAAUUAAGUAAUUUAAUUUACUGAAAUCUUGUUUUGGCUCAAUAUAGGGAAUUUAAGGAUAGGCAAACAUAAGCUAGGUGCUUCAGCCUAUUCCCUUCUUUGGUUUUGAUUUGUGUAAUUGUUAGGGCUGUAAUCUCCCGGUCGACUGGUCGAUUUAUUGGUCGACACGUUCUGGCUCAACCAAAAUUGUCAUUGGUUGACUUUUUGUUCAGUCUCGCUCUGUGCAUAGGCCAUCACGCACUCGGCCGACAGACAGACUGGAGUGUGUGAAUCAAACACCCCCCCCCCCCCCCCGGCGAUUAGUCGAUUGUUUGUCAAAAUUUGAG
rnacentral:lncRNA from 1 species